CGCUAGCUACAGGCUUUACACAUGCAAUUCGAGGGGAAACAGAUUGAUUAGCUUGCUUAUCGAUGCUGUUGACCGGCGCACGGGUGAGUAACGCGUAUCCAACCUUCCCAUAACCAGAGAAUAGCCUUGCGAAAGUAAGAUUAAUGCUCUAUGUUGUUUUCGGCGGACAUCUAAUGAAAACGGAAGAUUUAUCGGUAAUGGAUGGGGAUGCGUCUGAUUAGCUUGUUGGCGGGGUAACGGCCCACCAAGGCAACGAUCAGUAGGGGUUCUGAGAGGAAGGUCCCCCACAUUGGAACUGAGACACGGUCCAAACUCCUACGGGAGGCAGCAGUGAGGAAUAUUGGUCAAUGGGCGGAAGCCUGAACCAGCCAAGUAGCGUGCAGGAUGACGGCCCUAUGGGUUGUAAACUGCUUUUACAGGGGAAUAAAGUGAGUGACGUGUCAUUCAUUGCAUGUACCCUGCGAAUAAGGACCGGCUAAUUCCGUGCCAGCAGCCGCGGUAAUACGGAAGGUCCGGGCGUUAUCCGGAUUUAUUGGGUUUAAAGGGAGCGUAGGCCGCCUGUCAAGCGUGUUGUGAAAUGUAGAGGCUCAACCUCUGAAUUGCAGCGCGAACUGUCAGGCUUGAGUACGCGCAACGUAGGCGGAAUUCGUGGUGUAGCGGUGAAAUGCUUAGAUAUCACGAAGAACUCCGAUUGCGAAGGCAGCUUACGGGAGCGUUACUGACGCUGAAGCUCGAAAGUGCGGGUAUCGAACAGGAUUAGAUACCCUGGUAGUCCGCACGGUAAACGAUGGAUAACCGCUGUUGCCCCACCUGGAGCAGCGGCCAAGCGAAAGCAU
rnacentral:rRNA from 1 species